GGGCCUACUUCAAAGAUAUUUUAUUCCGUACCUGAAAAGUAGCAGUUGCGUCACCAUUGGCCACUUCUGUAAUAUACUGAGACGACGUGUUCAUCCCGAGAAAGAAAGUCAUAGUGUUAAAUACUUCGUUAUUGACCAGAAGGAAUGCACAGUGAAUGUCGCACAUUUACUACCUACAUUUGUGUCGUUAUGGUGGCUUGCUUAGCUCAUGGGCUGUGAUGUCUGUGAACGAGGAACAAUAAGUGUUUUCACCAAUUCAUACUGCUCUACAGAUCGCUAAAUCGUGUAUUGACAAAAGAGCAUAGUAGUAGGCGUGCCUCAAUGCACUUUCGUAAAAACAUCUAGCAACAGGGUUUUGGAGAUGUGUAACAAACGAAAUAGGUUCAGUAAGAGCUGCUAGUACGUGUAUUUUUCACUAAGUGCAUUAUUCGAUAUCGGAGAAUAGAAGACUCGUCAUCAGUGGUACGCACGUCAGAGAAAACGUAGGCCUAUACAAGACUAUAGUUCUGGACAAUUUGAAAACCAUUUCAAAAAGAAGAAACGGAUGAAAUGUGUGCUAAGCCAGACACCAUGAAGUGACUGUAAUGGCAGAGAUGAAGGUUGAGAGAGGGAGUUUUGUGAGCAACCUGCGCAUGCUGGUGGAAGCUUAAAAUGACGCAGACGUGACUCUGGCACCCAGGGGCUCGGAGCAGUCAGCACGCAGUCACAUCUUGGCAGGGAGGAGCCCAGUCUUCGACGCCAUGUUGUGUUUCUUGCAUGUCACUUCACAACAUGGCAGCGAAGACGGGGCUUCUUGCUGGCAUGUCGCAGAUUGAGAUGCAAGAAGCAUGCAGCCACUUCGCAGAGGUAACUGACAUGAGAGAAGCUCCCUUACAGCAGUUGUGAAACAGUCCCUAACCAUGCUGUAGCCUGCAUUAUAGUCCAACAACACUGUGGACUGAACUGUCCAAAAUAACAGCAAGUGUGUUACAUUGGGAUAUGGAGUAUCUUGCGUGGAUUAUUUUGUCAUCUCUUGACCCUGAAUAUUUAUAAAAGAACCAACUUGCGAUAAUAAAAAACUACACAUCUUUGAUUAAUUGCAGCUAAAGGAUAAUUUGAAACAUAAUACAAAAAACUAAAAUCAUAAUGUCAAUCGGAUUCAUUUAGGACUAAUAAUUUUUCAUAUUUCCCUUUGUGAUAUCAUACACUGAAGAGCCAAAGAAGUUGGUACACCUGCUUAAUAUCUUUCAGGGCUCUUGAGAGCAUUGAAAUGCGCUGCAUUGUGAUAUGGCGUGGACUACACUAACGUCUGUAGUAAUGCUAGACAGAACUGACACAAUGAAUGUUGCAGGGCUGUCCAUAAAUCCAUAGGAGGGUAAGGGGUGGAGAUCUCUUCUGAACAGCACGUUGCAAGGCAUCCCAGAUAUGCUCAAUAAUGUUCAUCUUUGAGAAAUUUGAUGGCCAACAGAAGUGUUUAAACUUGGAAGAGUGUUCCUGGAGCCAAUCUAGCAAUUCUGUUUGUGUGGGGUGUCACAUUGUCCUGAUGGAACUGCUCAAGUCUAUCGGAAUGCACAAUAGACACAAAUGGAUGCAGAUAAUCAGACAGGAUGCUUACUUACAUGUCACCUGUUAUAAUUGAUGCACCGGGGGUCCCACAUCACUUCAACUGCAUAUGCCCCACACCAUUAGAGAGCCUCCAUCAGCUUGAACAAUCCCCUGCUGACAUGCAGGAUCCAUGGUUUCAUGAGGUUGUCUCCAUACACGUCCAUGAGAUCGAUACGAUUUGAAACCAGACUCGUCCAACUAGGCAACGUGUUUCCAGUCAUAAUCAGUCUGUCAGUGUUGUCGGGGACCAGGCAAGCGUGAAGCUUUGUUGAGAGACCAGCAUUGAAAUCUGCAGCAGCACCGUGAGCAAACAAGAGCGAAGCUGUGUGCAGGUGUAGAUAUACCUGCAGUUGUGGGGAGUGAGAAAUGUUUCUUUUUUUCUUUGUCUUCCUGUGCUGACAGGCGUGUAUGCCUCAUACAGAUCAGCUGUUAUUGUAUAAAUUUGAAAUGGAAGUAACAUUAGUUCGCCAUUGUGCAUUACAGAGGCUGUCCCCUUCGAAUGUGAUACAUACUUGUAGCAGGGAAUAUGAAAUCAAUUUGACACUAUUCUGAUACAUUAUUAUAUAUGUAUGUAUGUUUGUUUGUUUGUUUUAAUCUUUAUUAUUUGUAUAUGCAAUAUCAUGUUUUCUGCAAGCAUCAUCUAGAGGAUUUAUUCCUUGAACGCCUUCAGCUAAUCUUUUUUCUGAUUUUGUUCCUGGACCACAACUGUUACGACCAGAGGGAUGCAUUUCGAAUGGUAAUUUAUUAAGGUAUUAACUAAUACUUUUCCCUAUUAUUCAUUUUUCUAAAAUGUGUGUGACAAGUUACUCAAAAAUGUAAUCAAAUAUGGAAUUCCUUUUGGAUUGUUGAUAAUAAAGACACUAAAUCUAUUUCUUAA